UUCUUUAAUGAAAUCUGCCACUCUCUAAUACAUCUCCCACGCUCUAAUAACAAACAAUAAAAUCUGCAACGCUCUAAUGCAUUUGAUGUGGCAUAAGACUCCAUUAAAGGAACUCGAAGCUUGAGUUUAACAUUUUGGGUUUGCAAAAUUGAAUUCGAGUUCGAUUAGGUGUCUUGACAAAUAAUUGGGGAUACCUUUGGGAGUUAAUAUCCCGAAUUUGAGGCGAUUUGGAGAAGAUUUUUUCUAGUUUUGAGCGAGAUUUCAGCUGCAACACAAAGCUAAGUUCGAAAUUUUCAUAUUUGCAAUUUUCUUGCGCACUGUUUUGUGUCAAUUUAAAUACACAAAACUACACUUUCU
rnacentral:lncRNA from 1 species